rnacentral:rRNA from 1 species
UGUUUCGGCAAGGGGGUCAUCCCGACUUACCAACCCGAUGCAAACUGCGAAUACCGGAGAAUGUUAUCACGGGAGACACACGGCGGGUGCUAACGUCCGUCGUGAAGAGGGAAACAACCCAGACCGCCAGCUAAGGUCCCAAAGUCAUGGUUAAGUGGGAAACGAUGUGGGAAGGCCCAGACAGCCAGGAUGUUGGCUUAGAAGCAGCCAUCAUUUAAAGAAAGCGUAAUAGCUCACUGGUCGAGUCGGCCUGCGCGGAAGAUGUAACGGGGCUAAACCAUGCACCGAAGCUGCGGCAGCGACACUAUGUGUUGUUGGGUAGGGGAGCGUUCUGUAAGCCUGUGAAGGUGUACUGUGAGGUAUGCUGGAGGUAUCAGAAGUGCGAAUGCUGACAUAAGUAACGAUAAAGCGGGUGAAAAGCCCGCUCGCCGGAAGACCAAGGGUUCCUGUCCAACGUUAAUCGGGGCAGGGUGAGUCGACCCCUAAGGCGAGGCCGAAAGGCGUAGUCGAUGGGAAACAGGUUAAUAUUCCUGUACUUGGUGUUACUGCGAAGGGGGGACGGAGAAGGCUAUGUUGGCCGGGCGACGGUUGUCCCGGUUUAAGCGUGUAGGCUGGUUUUCCAGGCAAAUCCGGAAAAUCAAGGCUGAGGCGUGAUGACGAGGCACUACGGUGCUGAAGCAACAAAUGCCCUGCUUCCAGGAAAAGCCUCUAAGCAUCAGGUAACAUCAAAUCGUACCCCAAACCGACACAGGUGGUCAGGUAGAGAAUACCAAGGCGCUUGAGAGAACUCGGGUGAAGGAACUAGGCAAAAUGGUGCCGUAACUUCGGGAGAAGG